rnacentral:piRNA from 1 species
UAGCUGUUUCUCUGUCAGAUAUCCUGGAA